rfam:Trichobilharzia regenti genome assembly, scaffold: TRE_scaffold0029390
NNCCAUAUGACGAGUCCCAAAUAGGACGAAAUGCGCAUCCUGUCUGGAU